rnacentral:rRNA from 1 species
CUUGCUCUAUGAAGUUAGCGGCGGACGGGUGAGUAACACGUGGGUAACCUGCCCAUAAGACUGGGAUAACUCCGGGAAACCGGGGCUAAUACCGGAUAACAUUUUGAACUGCAUGGUUCGAAAUUGAAAGGCGGCUUCGGCUGUCACUUAUGGAUGGACCCGCGUCGCAUUAGCUAGUUGGUGAGGUAACGGCUCACCAAGGCAACGAUGCGUAGCCGACCUGAGAGGGUGAUCGGCCACACUGGGACUGAGACACGGCCCAGACUCCUACGGGAGGCAGCAGUAGGGAAUCUUCCGCAAUGGACGAAAGUCUGACGGAGCAACGCCGCGUGAGUGAUGAAGGCUUUCGGGUCGUAAAACUCUGUUGUUAGGGAAGAACAAGUGCUAGUUGAAUAAGCUGGCACCUUGACGGUACCUAACCAGAAAGCCACGGCUAACUACGUGCCAGCAGCCGCGGUAAUACGUAGGUGGCAAGCGUUAUCCGGAAUUAUUGGGCGUAAAGCGCGCGCAGGUGGUUUCUUAAGUCUGAUGUGAAAGCCCACGGCUCAACCGUGGAGGGUCAUUGGAAACUGGGAGACUUGAGUGCAGAAGAGGAAAGUGGAAUUCCAUGUGUAGCGGUGAAAUGCGUAGAGAUAUGGAGGAACACCAGUGGCGCGACUUUCUGGUCUGUAACUGACACUGAGGCGCGAAAGCGUGGGGAGCAAACAGGAUUAGAUACCCGGGUAGUCCCGUAAACGAUGAGUGCUAAGU